UGUGGACCGCAACAAGCUCUGUGCUUCCCAAGGGGGGCCUGGAGGCUGGCGGUUCCAAAAGCGGAAGAUGAGACUGAGGCCUCUUGUUGCCUCGAGAAAUGAAACUGCACAAGCGGCCCCGCCCUCACCCCCGCUUUCCCUUCCCUUCCCCGAAGGCAGGAACCCGCUCUUCAUGCCCUGCCCCCUAGAGCCGCUUCCGGGCUUUUCUAGAUCCUUCUGGGCUCUGCCUACCACAGUCUUCAUCAUUCUCACUCAUCCUGUACCCUCGUGUUCUGGAUGCUUCUGCCCGCGCUCCCCUCUCCCCCUGGCUCUGGCUCCUCUUCAGCCGCCACGGUGGUCUCAGUUAGUUUCACUUCCUCACACAUCUCAGCACUUUGGAAACUCAGCGGAGGACAUCUGAAGCCCAGAGACGGACAUUCCCUUUCCGCCAGGGCUUCCCCAGAUGCUGGAUGCCCUGCCCAGCUCAGAGCAGCGCCGCCUUUCCCAGCCGGGUCCAGCGGGAGCCUGGAAACCCUGCCCUCCGGCCCAUGCUCUAGUCCCACCGCAAGACCUCCUCCUUUGGCCUCCCUCACUUCCCCCCUUUCCCGGCUCCCCCAGACUCGACUCCCUUUUCAAAAAAAUCUAAUGUAACGUUUAUUUCACAGUUUAUAAUGAUUGAAGUUGAUGCAGAUGUACAGGGAAGCCUGGCCUGCUGCAGUCCAUGGGGUCGCAAAGAGUUGGACACGACUGAGCAACCGAAGUGCGCUGAAUGAUGAAAGGUUACUUUCCAUUUACAGUUAUCACAAAAUAGUGGCUGUAUCCCCGUAUUGUAUAGUUCAUCCUCCUGCCUGUCUUUCUGCGGUGGUUUGUUCCUCCCACUCCUUCUCCACUAUGUUUAGCCACCGCCCCCACUGGAAACCCCUAUUUACUUCAAUAUAUCCAGGUGUCUGCUUCCUUUUUGUUACAUAUACUAGUUUGUGGUAUUUUGUUAGAUUCCUCAUGUAAGUAAUAUCAUAUAUAUAUUAUUUGCCGCUGUUUCCUCCCACUUAAUAGAUUAUGUUUAGUCUUUCAUUUUAUCUAACCAAAACUAUCUAAAACACACCAACUGAGAAAUGAAAAAAGGGUACAAAUGAACUUAUCUACAAAACAAAAUUAUAGAUGCAGAAAGCAAUCUUAUGGUUACCUGGGGUAAGGCAAGGAGGGAUGAAUUGGAAGUCUGAGCUUGUGUAUAAAAUAUACGAGGAAUAACGACCUUCUGUAGCGCGGGGAGCUCUACUCAGUACUCUGUGAUGACCUAUAUGGAAGAAGAAUCUAGAAAAGAGUGGAUAUAUGUAUAACUGACUCACUUUGCUCUAUUCCUGAAGCUAACACAACAUUGUAAAUCAACUAUACCCCUAGGGAAAAAAAUUUUUAAGUAAUGAAAGGAACAAAACUCUCAACGGAAAAGAAAAUGAAAGUCAAAGCAAACUACAUGUACCAGAUACAUACCAGUGUUUGAUAUAUAAUAAUAUGUAUAAUAAAAAAUGCAUAUAUAAUGUGGGGUUUCCCAGGUGACACAGUAGUAAAGAAUCCACCUGCCAAUGCAGGAGAUGCAAGGAUGCAGGUUGAAUCUCUGGGUCACGAAGAUCCCUUGGAGUAGGAAAUGACAACCCACUCCAGUAGUCUUGCCUGGAAAAUUCCAUGGACAGAGGAACCUAUUGGGCUACAUAGUCUAUGGGGUCACAGUCAGACGCGUCUGUUUGUAUGCAUAAUAUAUAUUCUCUGUGGGUCUCUUAUAGAUAAAUUAAUGAUGUAUGGAACGAAACAAGCCCUGAAACCCUUGAACUGUUGGGUUGCCCAGUCCAAGGGAUGCUGAUAUUUGUACUACACAAGAUAGCAACCAGUUAAACGUGAAUUGUUCAGAAAACAAUAUCAUAUACAUUUUUUAAAAGAUGUUUGGUCGCCAACCAGCAGAAGUCAUUAUGGUUUAAUUUCUUCUUAUAUAUCUGUUUGGAAUCUAUGCUAUCAUUGCGAAAUCUUAGAAGCUGAUUUCGUGUAUUAUUGUUUAAGAAGCCGCAUCAUUGAGGGAAGUUAACAGUAGAGAUUUGGAUAUCCCUAUUAAUUAUAAAUACCGACUCCUCUGUCUAAGAGAGAGGACUGAUUUAAAACUGGGGAGACAUCACUAACAUGAUAACAAGGAUUGGGAGACUCAGAUUACCAGCGUGGCUUCCUGUGUUGGCCGCUAAACUGUGAUGUCCUCCAACACUGGCAAACAUUUAGAAAUCGAACUUUUGCUGUUAUAAGCAACACGCCCACUCUGCCUUCCUGGCAGUGAAUAGACGUGACCCUGGGGACGUAAAGGAUUACGAAACGGUCAUGUGGUCUUCUGCCUGGUUCUGUGCUGACUGAGACUCCAGCCGGGUGCAGAGCAGGGGAGGGGCCAGAUGGUGAGCGGGCAGGACCCUAUGAGGCUUUCCCAGAAAAGAACCCCAGCCAAGCCUUCUGCCUGCCUUUUGUCUGUUGAAAAACUUUCAUCAAAGAAUAAAUUUGGGAACUUCCUUGGGGGUCCAGUGGGUGAAGACUCUGAACUUCCACUGCAGGGAACGCAGGUUUGAUCUUUGGUUGGGGAACAAGAAUCCUACUUACCGUGCGAUGUGGCCAGAAAAUUAAAAGUAAAAAAAUUUUUUAAAGCAUGAAUUUAAUCAGAGAAGUGAGAAAAUGCAGAAAGAAAAGGAAAACAGUCAAACAAGCCAAACUAAUAAUACUUCAGCCAGUAGACAAAGUCAAGGACCUUUAUUUAGUUCUUCCUCGAGGUCUAUAGAUAUUGUUCUGUGCCUUAUAUGUGAACUGUUUAGUGGAUACUGAAACCUCUACCAGGUGGAGGAAGUUAACUGUACGUUGCCCACAAGCACGCCAACCCCAGACCACUUGGAACCAGAAGGUUGAUGACGCUGCCUCUUGGUUACCUCACCACCGACCACGGCUCCGUAAACACUGUGAAACGCCUCAGUGCCACCACAAGGCUGGGACACAGGCUUAAGGCGUUGCCUGCUGUGGCCCUCUUUGCCUGGCCAAACAGUAAAGCUAAUUUCUUUCUACGUCACCCAACUCUUCCUUAAAGGUUUCAUCCCGCACCACUGUAUGGAGGCCGGAUUUUGGCAACAAAUUGGGCGUUCAGUAUAGGGUUGACUUAGGGGCAGCCCCACGGGGGUGCCCUGGUUUGACCAGACUCUCCGAGGUCAUUCCUCCAUGCCAGCCUCUUUUGAGAAGGCAGAGGGUUGGAAGAUUCCUUCAGCGGCCAGGUUGCCUGGGACCCUUAUCAAGAAGGCUGAGCUCAUCAUACCAGCCUAUACCAGCCUGAAUUUUUCUGCUCCAAAGAAUUAUUUGGAUGAAGGAGAAAGCAUCAGGGACAUGGAGACACCUUGGCCAGCAUCUGGAGGCCAAAAAUCCCGGCGUCUUUCCUGAGGUUCAGCAACAGCCUUUCAUCUUGGGGGCUCGUCUGGGAUUCUUCAGGACAAGAUGGGCCUGAUAACCUAUGUGAGCCUACUUAUGCUGACUCCAAAAAUCCUGAGUCUGCCGUCUGAUCCUCAAGACAACGCCUUCCUGUCCUGGGCUCACUCUAUGCUGCAUUCCACAAUCGGUCUAACUGCUGGGUUUGUGGUGCGCUCCCCUCUUCAUCAGUGGAAGGCUUCCCGUGGUGGACAUCUCCACUUCAAGGAAAAGACUUUCUCCAAGUCUGCGAAUACCUUCGACAACAAUCAUAUGUGAUGCCUCUUCUUAAACUGAUGACAUCUAACAACCCUAUAAUGGACUGGUGCAACAUGUUGUUCUUUAACUAUGGACACAAUGUGAUGUUUAAUUUUCAUUAUACAUUGUCUCGUUUCAAUGACUAUUUUGCUACACACGAGGCAAAUAGGUCUAGAUCUAAUGGAUUUUUACCUGAUGUUUAUCAAAUAUGGGAUGAGGUUAUAUGGUUAACUCCUGAAAAAGGACGUCUAAUAUCUACUGCCCCUAUUUGCUGGGAACAAAUAAAGCCAUCCCCAGAAAUUAGUCAACAACUUAAGUUAUAGUGAUUGAAAACACUUGGGAUUUUUGCCUCAGGAAAUAUGCAAUGUAAUCAUUCCCAUGUUUUCCAACCCCAAUUCAGGUCCUCCCUUUGUCUGGCCAGGCACUGAUUGGGACUGGAUAUCUAUGUCAUGCUGGCUUGCUCCAAACGGGACUUAUUGGACAUGUGGCUCUUACCUAUGGGCAUGGCUUCCCCCUGGGUGGACAGGGAGAUGCACCCUAGGUCUAGCCUUUACUCACGGCUUUAUAUUUUCAGAGCUUCCAGAGAAGCCUGCUAAUUUACCCCACCUUACAACUCGGUGGGCACGGUCUGUAUUUCACUGGUAUGGUUAUUUGGCUGCAGUGUUUGUCCCCUCUUUGGGAACUACAGAUGUUAUGCUACGAGUGGAUGGUUUGACUAAUUGUACUCAACAGGCAUUACAAGGUUCUCAAAAAGCUAGUUCAGCUCUUAAUGCUGAACAAGCACGAAUUAGAAAGGUGGUUUUACAAAACAGAUUGGCUUUAGAUAUCUGACAGCCGCGCAAGGAGGAACUUGUGCCAUUCUUCAUACCCAGUGCUGUGCGUAUAUACCUGAGAUGAGCACUAAUGUCACUCACUUUACUAAACACAUGACCCAGAUGACUGGGGCUAGGGAUACUCCUGAAGCCUCAAUUGCUUCACUUUGGGAGACGUUAACUACUUCCCCAGGGUGGAAAGCUAUCUUAAUUACAAUAAUUCUGAUUGUUCUAUUUUUGUUGUUUGCUCCCUGCAUCUGUGUCAUUGGAUUUGUUUCUAGUCCAUGAAGGCUUUUAAGUUAGAAAUGGUUGUCCAAGCUCCUAGGAGUGCCACAGCCUCUUUCAAAUAUUACUUGGGACCCCUGGAUGAGAGACCCUCAAUACGAGGGUUAGGAGAAUAUGUUGCCUCAACAACUUAGGGACCACGCCCCUAAACAGCAGGAAGUAGUUAUGGAACGAAAACGGCGCCCCUUUCCCUUGGCAACAUAAUUCUCCUAAAAGCAAAGGGGGGAUGAGAGAGUCAAUUCCUCGGCAGGUUGAUAGGAAGUCCAGGGGUCCCCAAGGAGAGAGGGGUCUGGAAUUCUCAAGGAGGAAGAAAGGACAAACUUUUUUUCCCUCUACAUUCCUUAGGAUUAUAUAACAAUAAUGUAUCCUACUUGAGGACAGUCUCUGGAAAAAAAACCUUCUGGCUAAUCCUGUUAUCUCAAAAUGUAAAUUAUGGCAGUAGGUCUGGUGAGGUCUUUACAACCUCCAGACAUUCUUUUGAUUCACUGUAAUAACUAAUUUGAGAGUAUAUGACUCCAUGGCUAAUGCUAGCAAGGGGGUAUUCUUUCUGCCCCCUUCUGAUGUCUAUGUCGGAAGCUUUCUCUAUCCCUUUGAUACUUUAAUAAACUUUAUUACACAAAAGCUCUGAGCGAUCAA